AUUGAACGCUGGCGGCAGGCUUAACACAUGCAAGUCGAACGAGUGGCGGACGGGUGAGUAAUGCUUGGGAAUCUAGCUUAUGGAGGGGGAUAACUACGGGAAACUGUAUCUAAUCCCGCGUACCAUAGGAUGAGCCCAAGUGGGAUUAGGUAGUUGGUGAGGUAAAGGCUCAACAAGCCGACGAUCUCUAGCUGGUCUGAGAGGAUGACCAGCAACAAUGGGACUGAAACACGGGCCAGACUCCGACGUGAGGCAGCAGUGGGGAAGAUGGCGCAAUGGGGGCAACCUGACGCAGCCAUGCCGCGUGAAUGAAGAAGGCCUUCGGGUUGUAAAGUUCUUUCGGUAGCGAGGCGUUAACUACAGAAGAAGCACCGGAGAACUCCGUGCCAGCAGCCGCGGUAAUUC
rnacentral:rRNA from 1 species